AGGGGUGCCAGCAUUCGGUUCAGCCCCAGCCUUUACAAGCCCUCUGGGCUCGACGGGAGGCAAAGUGUUCGGAGAGGGCACUGCAGCUGCCAGCGCAGGAGGAUUCGGGUUUGGGAGCAGCAGCAACACCACAUCCUUCGGCACGCUCGCGAGUCAGAAUGCCCCCACUUUCGGAUCACUGUCCCAACAGACUUCUGGUUUUGGGACCCAGAGUAGCGGAUUCUCUGGUUUUGGAUCAGGCACAGGAGGUCUGUCCAGGGUUUUGGUGGCUGGCGAAGCUGAGGGCGUGUCAGCAGGCCUUUCGAUCCCUGGGACCAACCGCAUCCUCAGCUUCUUCCCCGAGAAAUGCUGGAGCAGGCUGUUCAGACCGACGUUGCCAUCAAAACACAUACACCCAGAAAGAAACAACAGAAACCAAAACUCACAAGGCGCAUGAUUACUUGUUUUAUAUUUCAUGUUGGGUUUUCCCUCCCACUAUUAAACAGUCUGUUUCCGUACAGAA
rnacentral:lncRNA from 1 species